UACGUAGGGACCGAGCGUUGUCCGGAAUCAUUGGGCGUAAAGAGCGUGUAGGCGGCCACUUAAGUCCUGCGUGAAAUCUUGCGGCUCAACCGCAAGCGGUCGUGGGAAACUGGGUGGCUAGAGUGCGGGAGAGGAGAGUGGAAUUCCUGGUGUAGCGGUGGAAUGCGCAGAUAUCAGGAGGAACACCAAUUGCGAAGGCAGCUCGCUGGGACGUCACUGACGCUGAGACGCGAAAGCGUGGGGAGCAAACAGG
rnacentral:rRNA from 1 species